AGGUCAGCCUGUCCCUCGACACUACCCACCAUUCACGGUGCGUGUCCUACCCUCGUACACCGAAGUCCCCCAGUCCCACGACACUCCCCACUGUUCACGGUGCGUGUCCUACCCUCGUUCGCCGAGGUCCCCCUGUCCCUCGACACUCCCCCACCGUUCACGGUGCAUGUCCUACCCUCGUACGCCGAGGUCAGCCUGUCCCUCGACACUACCCACCAUUCACGGUGCAGGUCCCACCCUCGUACACCGAUGUCCCUCCGUCCCUCGACACUCCCCACCGUUCACGGUGUGUGUCCUACCCUCGUACGCCGAUGUCACCCCGUCCCUCGAUACUCCCCAUCGUUCACUGUCUGUGUCCUACCUCGUACACCGAGGUCCCACCGUCCCUCGACACUCCCCACCGUUCACGGUGCGUGUCCUACCUCGUACGCCGAGGUCCCCCUAUCCCUCGGCACCCCCACCGUUCAUGGUGCAUGUCCCACCCUCGUACCCCGAGGUCCCCCCCCUUCACUCGACUCCCCGCACCGGUCACAGUUGUCGGAGGGUGGGAUCUCGCUGACGACGGUGCCCCUCCCUCCUAUCACAAGAGGCUCCUGCCAAGACCAAAUACGGCCCGCUGAAGGAUGAGGACCGUAUCUUCACCAACCUGUAUGGCAGGCACGACUGGAGGCUGAAGGGGGCGCUACGGCGGGGCGACUGGUACAAGACGAAGGAGAUCCUGCUGAAGGGGGCGGACUGGAUCCUCGGGGAGGUGAAGACGUCCGGGCUGAGGGGUCUGGGAGGGGCCGGGUUUCCGACCGUCAUGAGGUGGGGCUUCAUGAACAAGCCUUCAGAUGGCAGUCUCUUACUCGGGACCUCAGUGGAUUCACGUCGAUUUUAACUGCGGGGGUCAAUUUGCCAGAAAUGGGCUUUGGUGGAGAUGAGAUCCGGGGCUCCAAGACUCUGCUUGUCCAACCUCCCUCAGCCUGGAGCUGAGACGCUACUGUGUCAGUGUGAGGAGCUCCGACCCACUGUUGCAGUGCACAGGGUGUGGUGGGCAACAGAAACCUCAAAUAAAACUCGAGUCCGACACAAGACAGGAAGAUACAGUGGUUUAUUGAUUUUUUAUGAGAUAUAUCAAUGAAACAAUGUGUGAGCUGCUAACGUGCGGGAAUAAAUAAUCUGCUGACAGUCACACACAAUUAACUGACCGGCGACAAGGGGUGACCGGUUGAAUAAUAACCAGUCCCGUUUCUCACCGUCACUCUGCAUCGGGGAACUGAUUAUAAAAUUAUAAAACUGAUUAUAAAAUCACACUUCGGGGCCGUGUCCGGGAUCGCUGCAGAUCCAGGGUCACUGCCGAGGGAUUUGUCCAUUUAACAUCAUUAUAUCGGCCAGGCUGCCGAAUGCACCGUCCUCAGCAAAGGGGGCAAAAGGAUUCUCUCCCGGGACCAUCCCCCCCACCCCGGGACACCGGUGUCCCAGACUGAGCCCCGGACCCCGGGCUCUUCCUGUCCGGGUAAUUCCCCGGGGAGUCACGUGGGGAGUCUCCAACACGCACUUCCGGCGGAAGCUGCCCCGCCGGACAACAGGCGGAAACACGUCACUGCGGGACCGCUGCGAGCGACGCACACAGCGCGAGGCCCGUGCCGGUUCCGUUAAAACCGUUGGGAAUCAGCCCCGGCGCGCGGCCGUUAAAGAAAAGUGUUCCUGACGUGAGACAGUCGGAAAGGGCAGGUGUGAAGGGGAGAAGUCAAACAGUGAGGAAGAUUUGAGAAUCGGGAAAUGUCGAUGGGAGAUGGAGGAAGAGACAUCACCUAAGGUAAAGGAUGGAAAGACACAGAAGGAAGCGGAUGUGGAAGAGAAACCCCAGUAGAGGAGGGGGAUGAGGAAGAGAAAUCCCACAG